UGGAGAAACUGGUUAUUUCACCAAGGCCUUGACUGGAAGGAUAUGCUUACCUUUAAGGAGUCAAGCUCAAAUUACAGAGCCAAUAAAAGGCCCUUGGGGAAAAACAGAUUGGCCUCAUACCCUUGCCUAUGCAGUCCUUGUAUAGGGUUCCUGACCUGUGGCUGCCUGAGCAAUUGUGGCUGAUUCGUGAAGUGAGUUCCCAUUAUCAUCCAAUUGGCCCUGAUCUCGCAUCCCAAGCCCACGGAUCAUACCACACUGUUCUUUCUGCAAAACAGUUGAGAAUUACCAGUAAUUGAGACUGUUUACAUUCAAUGCCAUCCUGACAGAAGCAGCUUUAUUAUAUUGCAGAGGGAUAAUUAAUAUAUGAUGGGGAUUAAAGAUUGCAUCACAGCAGGUAAGCCUCUUGUCUGAUAUGUCAUUUCACUGAUUACAAAGGAAUGCAAAUUAUAUAAACAGAAAUAAUGUUUUUCUCUUAUGCUAAUUUUAGCCUAGCCCACCUGUGCAUUUUCGAUUAACUGGAGAAAGGUGAAAAAUAUUAGGUUUGCUAAGGUAGAUUUCUGCCUUGUCAGCCCACCUCAUCUGAUAUUAAAUGCAGUUAUAUCUUAUUUAGACUCCGUUUUUAACCUUUUUUUAAUUCCUGAA